rnacentral:rRNA from 1 species
AGAACGAACGCUGGCGGCGUGCUUAACACAUGCAAGUCGAGCGGAAAGGCCCUUCGGGGUACUCGAGCGGCGAACGGGUGAGUAACACGUGAGCAACCUGCCCCUGGCUCUGGGAUAGCUCCGGGAAACCGGGAUUAAUACCGGAUAUGACCCCCUUCUGCAUGGUGGGGGGUGGAAAGUUUUUCGGCUGGGGAUGGGCUCGCGGCCUAUCAGCUUGUUGGUGGGGUGAUGGCCUACCAAGGCGACGACGGGUA